AAUGGUGUCUGGCAGGGAAGAGACCUUGGCCAUGUAGGAAGUUUCCCCUGGUGAGGCUCAUCCACUACACCCCUUGUUUUUUGACCCCUGUGAUGUCCCCAAAUGUGGGAAACUUGACUGCCUAAUUGGUGCUAGUGCAGACCUACACUUGGGAGACAGCU